CCUUUCCCUGGAGAGGUUGCAGGGGUGGCUGCUGUAUCACAUGUGUGUCAGUAGAUGGCUGAGGGGAGACAUACUACACCAGUGCUCAGUAUUCUGAUCUGUGAACAUCUGAAUGAUUAGUAGGCUAAUAUU